rnacentral:rRNA from 1 species
GUUGGCCUACGGGACGCAGCAGUGAGGAAUAUUGGUCAAUGGGCGUAAGCCUGAACCAGCCAAGUCGCGUGAGGGAUGAAGGUUCUAUGGAUCGUAAACCUCUUUUAUAAGGGAAUAAAGUGCGGGACGUGUCCCGUUUUGUAUGUACCUUAUGAAUAAGGAUCGGCUAACUCCGUGCCAGCAGCCGCGGUAAUAUGGAGGAUCCGAGCGUUAUCCGGAUUUAUUGGGUUUA